AGAACGAACGCUGGCGGCAGGCCUAAUACAUGCAAGUCGAACGCACUCUUCGGAGUGAGUGGCAGACGGGUGAGUAACGCGUGGGAACCUUCCCAAUGGUACGGAAUAACUCCGGGAAACCGGUGCUAAUACCGUAUAAGCCCCUCGGGGGAAAGAUUUAUCGCCAUUGGAUGGGCCCGCGUCGGAUUAGCUAGUUGGUAAGGUAAUGGCUUACCAAGGCUACGAUCCGUAGCUGGUCUGAGAGGAUGAUCAGCCACACUGGGACUGAGACACGGCCCAGACUCCUACGGGAGGCAGCAGUAGGGAAUCUUGGACAAUGGGCGAAAGCCUGAUCCAGCCAUGCCGCGUGAGUGAAGAAGGCCUUAGGGUUGUAAAGCUCUUUUGGCGGGACGAUAAUGACGGUACCCGCAGAAGAAGUCCCGGCUAACUUCGUGCCAGCAGCCGC
rnacentral:rRNA from 1 species